GACGUAGGGUGCAAGCGUUGUUCGGAAUUACUGGGCGUAAAGCGCACGUAGGCGGCUUUGUAAGUUAGAGGUGAAAGCCCAGGGCUUAACCCUGGAAUUGCCUUUAAGACUGCAUCGCUAGAAUCGUGGAGAGGUGAGUGGAAUUCCUGGUGUAGCGGUGAAAUGCGCAGAUAUCAGGAGGAACACCAAUGGCGAAGGCAGCUCGCUGGGACGGUACUGACGCUGGAGGCACGAAAGCGUGGGGAGCAAACAGG
rnacentral:rRNA from 1 species